AACGGCCAUACCAUGCUGAAUAUACCGAUUAUCGUUUGAUCACCGAAGUCAAGCAUCAUUGGGCGCGGUCAGUAUUUGGGUGGGUAACCACCUGGGAACACCGCGUGCCGUU
rnacentral:rRNA from 1 species